GGCCCUGUGGCGAAAUUGGUAGACGCAAGGGACUUAAAAUCCCUCGGGCAUUAUUUGCCUGUGCCAGUUCAAGUCUGGCCGGGGCCACCA
rnacentral:tRNA from 1 species